UCACAGGUCCUGCAACGAACAGGGAGGCCACUGGGAGGCGCCCGCUGCACAGAGUUUCCAUUGUCCCGGCUGCGUCUGCACCAGGGAGGCCAGCAGGCGAGCGCUGACAUCUCCCUCGAGCUGGGAGCAGGUAUGAGAAGGGAAGAGCUGAGUCACACCGGGCACGCGGUGAAGCACAAGUUCCAGAGAACCGGUCCCAGCGCUGUGCCUGCUGCCAACACAACUUCCUUUCAGAAAAACAGCCCUAUUCGGGGUUUUCAAUGAAUGUUAUUUUUUAAAUUAUCUUCCCACUUUUGUUUGUAUUCAUCCCUACUUUGUUUUGGUUUUAUAAGACCUUAAAUAGGAAGUACAAGGAAUGCCUGGUUAGCUGUGCCUGCAGGCACGGUUUGCACACCCUUGGACGGUGUUUCUCAGAAAGCACGGCCUACCGGAAAAUCAUCAGCCUGGAAAACAGAGCUCAAAUGUGCCAGCCGCAGUCAGCCUAUCCAGGCCUUACCUGCCUUAGCCAGCAGCCCCCGAGCAAGAGAACAGUGAGGUGUAAUCAGCAGGAUGCAGGCCAUCACCAUGUGGGACUAAACCAAAACUUCAGGAGUCUCCAAGAAAACCUGACAUAAAUAAGUAAACGCAGGGCCGGGGACAUAGUUCAGCGGCACAAGCGCCUGCCUGGAAGCACAAGGUCCCGAGUUUGAUUCCCGGUACGAAAAAAAUAAAUAAAUAAGUAAGUAAGUAAACACAAGAUGAAUGAGGCGUUCGCCUGCAGGUCAGGACCAGCUAUGAAUGAUCCAAACACGCUCACAAGACUUGUCAAAGAUCUCCCACCUGCAAGACCAAGGUGAGAAAGUUGGAAUCUGGGCUCCUGGGCUAUUGAGAGUGGGGGAGGGAAGCAGUGACACCUAAGUGAGGGGUCACAGGGCAGGCACGUCAAGGCGGGGGCCCGGCUUGCAGGACAGAAUCAAGAUCCAAUGAGAUGAGGGGCUGGGGAUUUAGCUCAGUGGCACAGCGCCUGCCUGGCAAGCGCAAGGUUGUGAGUUCGAUUCCCGUUACCGGAGAAAAACAAAAACAAAAAAAAAGAUCCAGUGAGAUGGCCUGGACUCCUGCUUAGGCUCUUUCCCUAAUAAAUACUCAUAAAUUUUAAAAGGAAAUUUAGGUAGAAAGAAAAAAAUAAGGUCCUUGGGCUGCAAGUGUCAGCUGCUUAAACAAAAGCCCUGGAAGGUUCUGGGUUAAUUCUUGAUGAUGUCGUGGAGGACCCAACUUCUUGCCAUCUUUGGGUUCCCCACUCUGAAUGUGGAGUGUAAUCCACAGCGCCCCUAGGCAGCGCCUCCAGUGCCCUCCCGGCACCCGCAGCGCCCCCGCGUGGACAAUCCUGACCACACAGCUCUGUGCUGGCCCUGCAUAGGCGGAAGAGCAGCCCUGAAAUAAAAUGUGUGAAACCCUUGCAGCAAGGAAGUGGGGUUGACUGCUCUGUGGGUUUAGCGGAAUUUUCUGGGAAAAGCAUCCGGAGAAUCGGACACCUUUGGCAGGGGAACCGUCUGACGUGUCAAGGGCCUUGGAUCUUAUCCAGUGGGUUCCAGGAAGCCUUUUAAAAAACCCUGAGCCUGGGCACAGUCAGAUGGAGGGCGGAAUGAGAUGAGAUUAGGCACAGGUGGCGGAAAGGUUCUCCUGCGUCUCUGAUUCCAAAGCUUGCACAGUAGGAGCCCCGAACGGGCGGGCGGCCGCAGAUCACUGGAGCAGCAGGAACGGCUGCUCCUGGACCCUGCAGCAGGAGCCCGGGCCCUCAGCCGGGCGCGGAGCUGACCCCGUGGCUAGGCAGACUCGGCUCCUAACUGGGGACGGGAUGGUGGAGCAGUCUGGAGGGUUCCGGGGCCAAGGUAGGAGGGGUAAGGCCACGGCAGUCAGAGAAUCACACAGUGGGAGAGUCUGCUCCAUAAUCCCCGUCGGAUCACCGUGUCCCAUUCAGACCCCACAGGCUCCUAUUAACCCAUUUUUUGUCUGUACAAUAUUCACCAGGGUGGGAAACCAAAGUACAUCUCUUGCACCUCUCAACUGGAGCCCAGGGAAACCCCUGGCAAGGACUUCUUGAGGACCUGUCCCUGCCUCAGAGAUAUGCUCGGGAGGUGGCCCAGGGUGCCCUCUGAGCCACUCCCCAUCAAAGAAACCACUGCACUGCAGGCUUAUCUUCAGAGAGCCAGUUUCCCAUCAUGCCUCUGGAAUGCUCAGACCUCUCCACUCGGGAAGCCACCUGUCCACUCGCCCUCGGCCACACCAGGGCCAGGUGCAGUCUGCUAGCCACCUCUGGACAUAUUCUCCAGGCAGGAACCACAUCAGAGCCAGGGUGACCCGCGGACUGAGAACCAGAGGAGGAAGGUGGGAAGGACGUUAGUCUGUAGCCAUCUAAUGGGGUCAGCCAUUUAACUUAUUAAAUUGACUUUAUAACAUCAGCUUCAGAAUACAGCACUUGCAAACUGCAUGAAGUGAUUCAGCUUCUGAAGGAAUCUCUCACACAGUCCCAUACGCCACAUCUUAAAGUUUUCAUGCUGUGAGUCUUCAGACUGGCAGACACAGAACAGGGGUGGGGAGUGAAGGUCCUAAGUUCUAAAUCAAUCAGAAGGGAAGCAAAUCAAACAGGGAUCUGAAUUUUAGCGGUAAGGAAUAGAAUCAUAAUUUCAGUAACAACUCCUGACCAGCAAGCUCCAGUUCAGGGCUGGGGUAAGGCUGGAGGCCAUCAGAGCAGAGGGAGCCUGGGGGCCUCAAGGCAGUGGUCUUCAUCUCUGGCUCCUGCAUGUGUCUGGAACUUUGGGAUGAGGGUGGGGUAAGGGGUGAGUGAGAGCCGGCAAGACUGUUCGCGGAUGCUGUUUGUGAUCCACACCCACGGGCAGGCUCAUGAACUGGCUGUAUGUGUGCCUGGGAGCAGGGAGACUUCACACCAUGGGGACUCCAAAGAAGGUUGGCAUUCAGGAUUUUCAGGGUCCAGGUCCAACCAGGGGCCAUGGAAUGAGCCGGUCACCACCACCAUGGCCCCACAGCCCUGGUCAUUGGAGUCCAGCAGGGUGCUCACAACACCAGCAGCAAGGCCCUUGUUGAACUGCUCAGCACCUCACACUCCAGCACAUCCACUCCAGUGCCUCACACCUCAGCUCCUCACUUCUCAGCUCCUCACAAUCCAACUCAUCACACCUCAACACCUCACACCCACGUCCUCACACCCAGGUCCUCACACCCUAGUGCCUCACACCUCAGCUCCUCACACCACAGCUUCUCAGAUUCCAGCUGCUCACACCUCAGAUCCUGAAACCUCAGCAUGUCACACUUCAGUUCCUCACACAUCAGCUCCUCACAGCUCAGCUCCUCGCAACUCAACAUUUCACACUUCAGUGCCUCACAUCUCAGCUCCUCACACCUCAGCUCCUCGAAAGUCAGGUCCUCACACCCAGUUCCUCACACCUUGGCUCAUCACACCUUGGCUCCUCAUACCUCAACACCUCAAAUCUCAGCUCUUCACACCUCAGCACCUCACACCUAAAAUCCUCAUAUCCUAGCUCCUAACACCUCAGCUCCUCAUGCCUCAGCUCCUCACAGCCCAGCUCUUCACACCCCAGCUCCUCACACCCCAGCACCUAACACAUCUGCUCCUCGCCUCAGCUCCUCACACCUCAGCAAGUCAAACCUCAGCUCCUCACACCACAGCACCUUCCAGCCCAGCUGCUCACACUCCAGCUCUUCACACCUCAGCAGCUGACACAUCAGCUCCUCAUAUCCCAACUCCGCACACCUCUAUUCCUCACACCUCAGCUCCUCACAAGUCAGCACCUCACAACCCAGGUCCUCAGAGCUCAGUGCCUCAUACCUCAGGUUCUCACACCUCAACAUGUCACAUCCCAGCUCCUCACACCCAAGCUCCUUACAUCCCAGCUCCUCAUACCCCAGCUCCUCAAACCUCAGCUCCUCACCUCAGCUGCUCACACCUCAGCUCCUCACACCUCACCACCUCACACUUCGGCUCCUCACACCUCACCAUUUCACACUUCAGUGCCUCACAUCUCAGCUCCUCAGACCUUAGCUCCUCACACCCCAGCACCUCACACCUUAGCUCUUCAUCUCAGCCCUUCACACCUCAACUCCUAACACAGCUCCUAGCACCUCAACUCCUCACAUUCCAGCUCCUAACAAUUCAGCACCUCAUACCCCAGCAGCUUACACCUCAGCUCUUCACACUUCAGCUCCUCCCACCUCAGCUCAUGUCCCACCUCCAAACACCUCAACUCCUCACACUUUACCACUUCACACCCCAGCUCCUCAGACACUAGCACCUCACACCCCAGUAGCUCACACCUCAGCACACCUCAGCUCUUUACACUUCAACUCCUCAAAUCUCAGCACGUCACACCUCAGCUCCUCACACCUCAGCUCCUUAUAUCCCAGCUCCUCACAUCCCAGCUCCUAACACCUCAGCUGCUCACACCUCAGCACCUCACAGCCCUGCUCUUCACCUCAGGUCCUCACACCUCACUCCUCACACUUCAGCCCUGAAACCUGUGCUUCUUACAGCUCAGCAUGUCCCCCCUCAGCUCCGCACACCUCAGGUCCUCACAUCUCAGCCCCUCACACCCCAGUCCCUCACACCUCAGCUCCUCACAUGCCACUUCCUACCACCUCAGUUCAUCACACCUCAGCUGCUCACAUCCCAGCUCCUCACACCUCAGCUCCUCCCACCUGCACAACUCACAACCCAGGUCCUCACACCUUGGCUCUUCACAACCCCAGUCCUCACACCUCAGCUCCUCGCAGCCCGGAUCCUCACACCUCAACCUCUCAUACCUCAGCCCCUCACACCUCACCUCCUCACACCUUAGUUCCUCACACCCUAGCUCCUCACACCUCAGCCCCUCAAACCUCAGCUUCUCACACCUCAGCUCCUCAUACCCCAGGUCUUCACACCUCAGCUCCUCAAACCUCAGCUCCUCAUACCUCAGUUCCUCAAAUCCCAACUCCUAACACCUCAGCUCCUCCCACAUCAGCUCCUCACACUUUAACACCUCUCACCUCAGCCCCUCAAACCUCAGCUCCUCACACCUCAGCACCUCUCACCUCAGCUCCUCACUCCUCAACACCUCACACCUCAGCUCCUUACCCCUUAGCUCCUUAUUCCGGCUCCUCUCACUCCUUCCCCAGCUUCUCCCCUGUCCUUCCCUCCUCACCCACCCUCUUCCAUUCAUCUUUUCACAGAGUUCCUCACUCCUCAAGCUCCUGCAUCAGGGUACCUGCUUUCUCCCGCCUGUGUCCUCAUCCCUCUUAUAUUUUGGGGGUCACUGUAUUGCCUGGACGGUCUCUCCUCUACAUUGUCCUGCCGCCAGAAGCAAGAAGUUUGGAAACAGUGUGUUGGAUGGGAAGGGAGGCCUGUCUUGGGAGUAGUGUUUGUGUCCCAUUUUCUCUGGGUGUGGAGGCAAAUCAGACACUUCCAGCACAGUAAGGGUUAAUGUCCUCCACAGACCACAGCAGGGUGGGUGGGGGCUGGAGGCCCAGGGGAAGGCAGGCUGUCAGGGUCUGUUUGCUUGAGAAUUGACAGGCUUUAGACAAAACUCACCCAAGCAGAAGCAGCAGCCAGGCAUGAUGAACUUGACCCAGUAAAAAAGUCUUGGACGUUAAACCCUAAGUGCUUGCUUUGUUUGUGAGUGCAGUUUUGGUCUUGCACCAGACUCUCAACUCCAGGGACACAGAGACUGUGCUUAUCUUGUGUACCAUGCGGCUAGUGUGGAAAAAGAAUUCCGGAAAUGUUUGUUGAAUAAAAAGAGUAAGUGUACAUUGCUUGUCAACACCUCUGACCCCCAUCCCAGGCAAAGACAAGGCGGAGUGUCCACGUGGGUGUUCUGGUUCUGUUCUGCAAGACUCUGCACCGGCGGGUCUGGGAGCCCCUUGCGAGAAAUGUGAGAGAGAGAGAGAGAGAAAUCCUCCCCACCCUGUAAUACUUUCUUGCCCAGGGCAGACCCGGGUUCCAGCUCCUCAAACCCAUGCCCAGCUGCAUGUGGUCCUGGGUUGGAGCAGAAUCCUGACAGCGAGAAAACACAGCCUAGUGACUCAGGGGUGUUGAUUCCCCUGUGGUCAGGGGCUGGCCUUGGUAUCUGGAAAGCAAACAGUAGCUCUCACACAAGACAAAGCUGCUCAAAAAUCUAAACCUUAGCCAGAUGCCGUGUUGCACAUUUGUAACUCUAGCUACUUGGGAGACUGAGAUAAGAGGAUCACAACUUCAAGGCCAACCUGGGCAACUUGGUGAGACCUUAUC